CUUGCUCCCGGACGUUAGCGGCGGAGGGGGGACCAUAGGCAACCUGCCUUGKRACGGGGAUAACUUACGGAAACCGGAGCUAAUACCGGAUGUUAGAUGAAUCGCGCAUGCRUUUUAUCUUAAAGUUGGCCUCGGCUAACACUACAAGAUGGGCCUGCGGCSCAUUASCUARUUGGUAAGGUAGUGGCUUACCAAGGCGACGAUGCGUAGCCGACCUGAGAGGGUGAUCGGCCACACUGGGACUGAGACACGGCCCAGACUCCUACGGGAGGCAGCAGUAGGGAAUCUUCCGCAAUGGACGAAAGUCUGACGGAGCAACGCCGCGUGAGCGAUGAAGGCCUUCGGGUCGUAAAGCUCUGUUGUUAGGGAAGAACAAGUGCCGUUCGAAUAGGUCGGCACCUUGACGGUACCUAACCAGAAAGCCACGGCUAACUACGUGCCAGCAGCCGCGGUAAUACGUAGGUGGCAAGCGUUGUCCGGAAUUAUUGGGCGUAAAGCGCGCGCAGGCGGUCUUUUAAGUCUGAUGUGAAAGCCCACGGCUCAACCGUGGAGGGUCAUUGGAAACUGGGAGACUUGAGUACAGAAGAGGAGAGUGGAAUUCCACGUGUAGCGGUGAAAUGCGUAGAUAUGUGGAGGAACACCAGUGGCGAAAGCGACUCUCUGGUCUGUAA
rnacentral:rRNA from 1 species